CCCCUAGAUGUUCUGGGCCGCACGCGCGCUACACUGAACAGUUCAACAAGUCUUAACCUUGGCCGAUAGGUCUGGGUAAUCUUUGAACGCUGUUCGUGAUUGGGAUAGACCUUUGCAAUUAUGGGUCUUCAACGAGGAAUUCCUAGUAAACGCAAGUCAUCAGCUUGCAUUGAUUACGUCCCUGCCCUUUGUACACACCGCCCGUCGCACCUACCGAUUGAAUGGUCCGGUGAAAUCUCGGGACGGCGGCUUGGUCGCUUGCGUCCGACUGCUGAAACUUGAUUAAACCAUAUCAUUUANAGGAAGGUGAAGUCGUAACA
rnacentral:rRNA from 1 species